rnacentral:rRNA from 1 species
AUACGGAGGAUGCGAGCGUUAUCCGGAUUUAUUGGGUUUAAAGGGUGCGUAGGCUGUGCGUUAAGUCAGGGGUGAAAUGCCGUCGCUCAACGACGGAGCUGCCCUUGAUACUGGCGUGCUGGAGUACGGAUGCCGUUGGAGGAAUGAGUGGUGUAGCGGUGAAAUGCUUAGAUAUCACUCAGAACACCGAUUGCGAAGGCAUCUGACGAAUCCGUCACUGACGCUGAGGCACGAAAGCGUGGGGAUAGAACAGGAUCAGAUACCCUGGUAUUCCACGCCGUAAACGAUGAUGACUAACCGUCGGCGAUAGACAGCCGGUGGCCAAGCGAAAGCGAUAAGUCAUCCACCUGGGGAGUACGUCGGCAACGAUGAAACUCAAAUGAAUUGACGGGG